rnacentral:misc_RNA from 1 species
GAUGAAGAACGUAGCGAAAUGCGAUACUUGGUGUGAAUUGCAGAAUCCCGUGAACCAUCGAGUCUUUGAACGCAAGUUGCGCCCGAAGCCGUCAGGCCGAGGGCACGCCUGCCUGGGCGUCACACGCCGUUACCCCCCCGCGCCCCGCACCCAACUCUUUGGGAGCGACCGCGGGGCGGGCUGAUGAUGGCCUCCCGUGCGCUCCGCCGCGCGGUUGGCCCAAAUACCGAGUCCCCGGCGACGUGCGCCACGACGAUCGGUGGUUGAGAGACCUCUGUCGCAAGUCGUGCGCGCCCGUCGCGUCACGCGGGCUCGCAUAGCGCCUCGCGCCGCACCCGGUGCGGAGCUUUCAACGCGACCCCAGGUCAGGCGGGGUUACCCGCUGAAUUUAAGCAUAUCAAUAAGCGGAGGA